GACGAACGCUGGCGGCGUGCUUAACACAUGCAAGUCGAACGGAAAGGCCCUGCUCUUGCGGCGCUCUCGAUUGGCGAACGGGGGAGUAACACGCGAGUAACCUGCCCUUGACUGUGGGAUAACUUCUGGAAACAGGGGCUAAUACCGGAUAGGAGCUCCUGCUGCAUGGGGGGGGUUGGUAAGUUUCGGCGCUUGAGGUUGGACUCGCGGUUUACCAGCUUGUUGGUGGGGUAGUGGCGUUCCACGGCUUCGAAGGGUAGCCGGCCUGGGAGGGAGACAGGGUCCAGUGGGCUUGGGGUACGGCCCAGACUCCUACGGGCGGCAGGAGUGGGGAAUAUUGCGCAAUGCGCGGAAGCCGGAUGGAGGAUCGUCGGGUGCGGGAUGACUGCCUUCGGGUUGGAAACCGCGUUCGCCUGACACGACGCGUGAGGGCGGGUAAUGGGUAAAGAGACACCGGCUAACUACGU
rnacentral:rRNA from 1 species